GGCCGCAUAGCUCAGUUGGAAGAGCAUUGGGCUAGUAUUCCAAAGGUCGUAGGUUCGAGUCGGGCCGUGGCCG
rnacentral:tRNA from 1 species